rnacentral:rRNA from 1 species
CCUACGGGUGGCAGCAGUGAGGAAUAUUGGUCAAUGGGCGGGAGCCUGAACCAGCCAAGCCGCGUGAGGGAAGAAGGUACAGCGUAUCGUAAACCUCUUUUGUCAGGGAACAAAGGCGGGGACUAGUCCCCGGAUGAGGGUACCUGAAGAAAAAGCAUCGGCUAACUCCGUGCCAGCAGCCGCGGUAAUACGGAGGAUGCGAGCGUUAUCCGGAUUUAUUGGGUUUAAAGGGUGCGCAGGCGGCCUGUUAAGUCAGCGGUAAAAGCCCGGGGCUCAACCCCGGCGAGCCGUUGAAACUGGCGGGCUGGAGUGUGUGAGAGGAUAGUGGAAUUCCAGGUGUAGGAGUGAAAUCCGUAGAUAUCUGGAGGAACAUCAGUGGCGAAGGCGACUAUCUGGCACAUAACUGACGCUGAGGAGCGAAAGCGUGGGUAGCAAACAGGAUUAGAUACCCCGGUAGUC